AUACGGAGGAUGCAAGCGUUAUCCGGAUUUAUUGGGUUUAAAGGGUGCGUAGGCGGUUUGCUAAGCGGGAGGUGAAAUGCCGGCGCUCAACGUCGGAAGUGCCUCCCGAACUGGUGGACUUGAAUGACUCUGCCGUGGGAGGAAUGUGUAGUGUAGCGGUGAAAUGCUUAGAGAUUACACAGAACACCGAUUGCGAAGGCAUCUCACGAAGGGUUGAUUGACGCUGAGGCACGAAAGCGUGGGGAUCAAACAGGAUUAGAUACCCUGGUAGUCCACGCAGUAAACGAUGAUGGCUAACCGCUGGGCUUAUCAGUUCAGUGGCCAAGCGAAAGCGAUAAGCCAUCCACCUGGGGAGUACGACCGCAAGGUUGAAACUCAAAUGAAUUGGCGGGG
rnacentral:rRNA from 1 species